rnacentral:rRNA from 1 species
CACCGCCCGUCACACCAUGGGAGUGGACUGUACCGGAAAUCGCUGAGGUAACCGCAAGGAGCCAGGCGCUUAUGGUAUGUUUCAUGACUGGGGUG